rnacentral:rRNA from 2 species
UUAAAUUGAAGAGUUUGAUCAUGGCUCAGAUUGAACGCUGGCGGCAGGCCUAACACAUGCAAGUCGAACGGUAGCACAGAGAGCUUGCUCUCGGGUGACGAGUGGCGGACGGGUGAGUAAUGUCUGGGAAACUGCCUGAUGGAGGGGGAUAACUACUGGAAACGGUGGCUAAUACCGCAUAACGUCGCAAGACCAAAGAGGGGGACCUUCGGGCCUCUUGCCAUCAGAUGUGCCCAGAUGGGAUUAGCUUGUUGGUGAGGUAACGGCUCACCAAGGCGACGAUCCCUAGCUGGUCUGAGAGGAUGACCAGCCACACUGGAACUGAGACACGGUCCAGACUCCUACGGGAGGCAGCAGUGGGGAAUAUUGCACAAUGGGCGCAAGCCUGAUGCAGCCAUGCCGCGUGUAUGAAGAAGGCCUUCGGGUUGUAAAGUACUUUCAGCGGGGAGGAAGGUGUUGUGGUUAAUAACC